rnacentral:lncRNA from 10 species
GUACCUAGGGGUAUUAAAAGGGGGAAGUUAACAGUGAGAACAAAUAAUAAAGAUUCUUAUAUGUAGCCAAGGUUUGCUCUUUGUGUACUCUGAGACUACCAUACGUAAAGGCUGGUGUUUGAACUUGGCUCCUAGCAGUGGCAGCUUGUUAGGGAAGAGUUCUGGCUCGGGAGGCAGGAGAUCAGGCUUCUGGUCUAGCUCUGCCAUUAACCGGCUCUGGAGCCUGGGCCGCAGUGUCCCAUAUUUCAGUUGGGCUGGAGAAUAUGCAUUCCAGGAGAGCAGGGAUAUUUGUUUUGUUCCCCGAUGUAUCCCCUGGAUCUAGCACAGGACUGGCAGGUUUCCCUAGGAUCACCAGCUGUCAUGGACUGAUUUGUGUCUCUCCAAAUUCAUAUGUUGAAUACUUAACCUGCCAUGCGAUUGUGAUUGGAGAUAAUUCCUUUAGGGAAGCAAUGAAGGUUAAAUGAGGUCAUAGGUGGGAGCUUAAUCCAAUGGGACUGGGGUCCCUACAAGAAGAGGAAGACACCAGAGCUCUCUGUCUCCACACACAGAGAAAAGAGGCUGUAUGAGGACACAAGAGAAGGUAAUAGCUGUCUACAAACCAAGAAGAGAAGCCUCUCCAGAAAAUGAACCCUGCUGGAACUUGGUCUUGGACUUUCCAGCCUCCAGAACUGGGAGAAAAUAAAGUUCAAAAUAAAGUUCUGUUGUGUAAGCCCCCGAGUCCAUGGUAUUUUGUUAUGGCAGCCCUAGCAGACUAAUAACACCUGCUAAUUAAACUGCUUGUUCUCCACUUGUUGUCUCAGGGUCUGUUCCUAGGGAACCUGGACUCAGACAGAUGCUCUGCUUAAUUAGACCCCAGGGAAAUGUAAAUGAAAACCACGUGUGAUGCCAUGUCACAAGUACUAGGAUAACCAGAAGGAAAUCUGACCACAUCGGAUGCUGGUGAGGUUGGGAAGCUGUCAUAUUUAGCUGACGGAGGUGUGAGUCGGCAAACCACUUUGGAAAAC